rnacentral:rRNA from 1 species
GGGUCAGUAGGUUGGUCGUGCCACCGGUACGUACUGGUCUCACUGAUUCCUCCUUCCUGAAGAACCGUAAUGCCAUUAAUUUGGUGUUGCGGGGAAACAGGACUGUUACUUUGAAAAAAUUAGAGCGUUUAAAGCAAGCUAACGCUUGAAUACAUUAGCAUGGAAUAAUGAAAUAGGACGAUCGAUCCUAUUUUGUCGGUUUCUAGGAUUGACGUA